CUUAAUGCCACUUGGAGGUAUUCUCACAGGCCCAGAUGCAGAACCACUUGUUUUAGCUGCCCGUCCAAGACAAAAACUCUGGAUCGCAGACAUUAAUGGAGAUGUUAUAAAACAUUGAUCUUUACGAACUUGAGUUCGGAACCAUUUCCUGAAAUCAAAUUGAUCAACACAGCUGUGAACUUUACAAAUUCAAAUGAUCUCACAAAUGUAGAAUUUAACCGAAUAGAAAAAUUCACCAACAACUUUCUGGUUGUUUCACACCAUCAUGGAAUUUUAAUAUUAGAUACAGAAUCAAUUGCCGUUACUGCCGCCCUAAGUGGCUUACAUGACAUAAAAAAUGUAGCUGUUUUUGUGAUGAAAUUAUGUUUUUGGAGGGGAAUUUUAAUAUUGUCCGACUUGGAUGGGAGCCUGAUCCCUACCAGUCCCAAUUAUCAGGAAAAAUAGACGAUCACAAACUACCAGUUGGUGAAGCUCUAAUCGAUAUCAGUACACGCUUAAAACAUGGUGCUUUAUCCUUUGUUCCUAUUUUAACUGCAACAUUUCAAGGUGCUAUGAAGUCUUCAGAUCAAGUAAGUGAGGCAGAUGAAGCUUCUGAACUUCCUCCCAUUGUAUCUGUGGAUGGUGUUGCUCCUUAUGUGUGGAUAGAUCCACUGUCAGAUGUGUCCAGCCUCAUGAAUUUGAAAAUAUUGCUCUCGCACAAAAACGGAUACGAAGGAAAAAAC
rnacentral:lncRNA from 1 species